AUGCUAUUGGAGAAAGAAGAUGAAGAGCAUACAACCUGAGGUAUUUGCAACUGGAAGAUACACACCCUUCUCUGCUCCCAUCCUUCUUUAGCACUGCAACACUCCUGGUACGUUACUUCUGGAAGCUGCCAAUGGCUUUUUCAGAGGUGAAGGCUGGUAUGUAGGGAGCUUCUACUCAUAAACAGUAUCUACCUCCUGUGAGAUGCAUUCACCUAGUUAGCCAGAAUAAACUGUGUCUCUAAACUAUAUCA
rnacentral:lncRNA from 1 species